AUUGAACGCUGGCGGCAUGCUUUACACAUGCAAGUCGAACGGCAGCGGGGGCUUCGGCCCGCCGGCGAGUGGCGAACGGGUGAGUAAUGCAUCGGAACGUGCCCAGUCGUGGGGGAUAACACAUCGAAAGAUGUGCUAAUACCGCAUACGUCCUGAGGGAGAAAGCGGGGGAUCUUCGGACCUCGCGCGAUUGGAGCGGCCGAUGUCGGAUUAGCUAGUUGGUGGGGUAAAAGCCCACCAAGGCGACGAUCCGUAGCGGGUCUGAGAGGAUGAUCCGCCACACUGGGACUGAGACACGGCCCAGACUCCUACGGGAGGCAGCAGUGGGGAAUUUUGGACAAUGGGGGCAACCCUGAUCCAGCCAUGCCGCGUGAGUGAAGAAGGCCUCGGUUGUAAGACUCUUUCGUACGGAAGAAAUACGCCGCCUCUAACAUAGGCGGUGGAUGACGGUACCGUAAGAAGAAGACACCGGCUAACUACGUAGCCAGCAGCCGCG
rnacentral:rRNA from 1 species